rnacentral:rRNA from 1 species
AACGAACGCUGGCGGCGUGCCUAACACAUGCAAGUCGAACGUGAUCCAGAGCUUGCUCUGGUGAAAGUGGCGCACGGGUGAGUAACGCGUAGAUAAUCUGCCUGAUGAUUUGGGAUAACACUUCGAAAGGGGUGCUAAUACCGGAUAAGCCCACGGAGUCCUUGGAUUCUGCGGGAAAAGGAGGGGACCUUUGGGCCUUACGUCAUCAGAUGAGUCUGCGUACCAUUAGCUAGUUGGUAGGGUAAAGGCCUACCAAGGUGACGAUGGUUAGCUGGGUUAAGAGGGGGAUCCGCCACACUGGAACUGAAACACGUUGCAGACUUCUACGGGGGGCAGAAGUGGUGAAUUUUGCGCAAUGGGGGAGACCCUGACGCAGCAACGCCGCGUGAGUGAUGAAGGCCCUUGGGUCGUAAAGCUCUGACAGAGGGAAAGAAAUGUGGGUGGCUAAUAUCCAUUCCACUUGACGGUACCCUCAAAGGAAGCACCGGCUAACUCCGUGCCAGCAGCCGCAGUAAAAC